rnacentral:rRNA from 1 species
AUUGAACGCUGGCGGCAGGCCUAACACAUGCAAGUCGCACGAGUGGCGGACGGGUGAGUAAUGUCUGGGAAACUGCCCGAUGGCGGGGGAUAACUACUGGAAACGGUCGCUAAUACCGCAUACCCUCGGAUGUGCCCAUAUGGGAUUAGCUAGUAGGUGGGGUAACGGCUCACCUAGGCGACGAUCCCUAGCUGGUCUGCGAGGAUGACCAGCCACACGGGAACUGAGAAACGGUCCAGACUCCUACGGGAGGCAGCAGUGGGGAAUAUUGCACAAUGGGCGAAAGCCGGAGACAGCCAUGCCGCGUGUAUGAAGAAGGCCUUCGGGUUGUAAAGUACUUUCAGCGAGGAGGCGUUACUCGCAGAAGAAGCACCGGCUAACUCCGUGCCAGCAGCCGCGGUAAUUC